UACGUAGGGUGCGAGCGUUGUCCGGAAUUAUUGGGCGUAAAGGGCUCGUAGGCGGUUUGUCGCGUCGGGAGUGAAAACACCGGGCUUAACUCGGUGCUUGCUUUCGAUACGGGCAGACUUGAGGCAUGCAGGGGAGAACGGAAUUCCUGGUGUAGCGGUGAAAUGCGCAGAUAUCAGGAGGAACACCGGUGGCGAAGGCGGUUCUCUGGGCAUGUUCUGACGCUGAGGUGCGAAAGCGUGGGGAGCAAACAGG
rnacentral:rRNA from 1 species